rnacentral:rRNA from 1 species
AACGAACGCUGGCGGCAGGCCUAACACAUGCAAGUCGAACGCCCCGCAAGGGGAGUGGCAGACGGGUGAGUAACGCGUGGGAACCUACCUUACGGUCGGGAAUAGCUCAGGGAAACUUGGGGUAAUACCGGAUACGCCCUUACGGGGAAAGAUUUAUCGCCGUUAGAUGGGCCCGCGUAGGAUUAGCUAGUUGGUGAGGUAACGGCUCACCAAGGCGACGAUCCUUAGCUGGUCUGAGAGGAUGAUCAGCCACACUGGGACUGAGACACGGCCCAGACUCCUACGGGAGGCAGCAGUGGGGAAUAUUGGACAAUGGGCGCAAGCCUGAUCCAGCCAUGCCGCGUGAGUGACGAAGGCCUUAGGGUUGUAAAGCUCUUUUGGCGGGGAAGAUAAUGACGGUACCCGCAGAAUAAGCUCCGGCUAACUUCGUGCCAGCAGCCGCGGUAAUACGAAGGGAGCUAGCGUUGUUCGGAAUCACUGGGCGUAAAGCGCACGUAGGCGGAUAUGUCAGUCAGGGGUGAAAUCCCGGAGCUCAACUUCGGAACUGCCUUUGAUACAGCAUAUCUCGAGUCCGAGAGAGGUGAGUGGAAUUCCUAGUGUAGAGGUGAAAUUCGUAGAUAUUAGGAAGAACACCGGUGGCGAAGGCGGCUCACUGGCUCGGUACUGACGCUGAGGUGCGAAAGCGUGGGGAGCAAACAGG